rnacentral:misc_RNA from 1 species
GCAUCAACUGUCUCAGUACAGAAUAAUUUCAUUUGUUUAUAUAUAUUCUUAUAAUGAAAUUAGUUUCUGAAUUAUAUAUACAUAUAUAUACAAAGAUUGCUUUCAAUUCAAACCUAACCUUGAGUGAAAGAGCUCACAAUUCACGCAUGACAAAACAGUAGAAAAAAAAGGUGAAAGGAUGUGAGCUGGAGAUCACAAUACAAUUAUGAAUCAUUCCAGAAGCAUUAAAAGGGGCAAACCAUAAACCCCACUUGCAUUAAUGUCUUCUUUGAAGUCCUUGUUUUUCCAUUUUUCAUUUUUUUAUAUAUAAAUCACUGAAUAUCCUGUUUAAGACCUUAUAAUAUCCCAAUCUUAUCCAAUGAUUUGCACAGAAAAGACAAAUAAAGAAUUUUUUUUUUUUGAUUAAAAUCUGCAAAUAAGCUUAAUUACAGCUUAGCUUAGUUCUAGAGAUCCUAGAGCUUUGAGAAUUGAGGCUGUUGCUUGAGACGGAGCAUCGAUUUUUUUUAAGGGAAUUGAUAGAAUGGUAACUUGAAUAUGAGUCUAUCAAAUGAGUGAUAUGAUUUCAGUUAUUAAACUAAAUCAGGUGAGGUAUGUUCCUUUAAUUCCCAGUUAUUUGCCUAGUUGAUUUUCAUGACAAAUUUUUUCUUGUAGAAACCUUAUCCAUGAUGCUUGGUUACGAUGUUAAACAUGUUUGAUUUAUUUAUGAGCAUGCAUAAUGUUUAAUUCACUUGUAUGCAUAAUGCAUUAAUUUUUCUAUGGUUGGUCUCUGAAGGGAUGUGAAUUAAAUGUUCCUCUUCAUUCGUACAUGACCCAUAUGGUUUAACUAUCAUUAGUUUCGUUAUUAUUUUAGGCUAUAUUAUAGAGUACAAUGAAAUGUCUAUAAUAGAAUAUUUAAUUACCUUACUUUUCAUUAUGCUCUACAUUGUUGCUGGUUUUGUUUUCACAUUUCAAGAUUUUUUUAUAUAUAUAAUUAAUAAUUUUCUUAAUAUUGAGAAGGUUGACUUAUUAUUAGUGAGAUUUGAAUUCUAAAAAAAAUAUCUUAUUAAAAGUUAUUUAUACUUUUUUUUAAUAUAAAAUACUUGCGUAUACAGUAUAGUAAUGAGAAUGGAUCACCAUAAUUAUAAUUUUAAUGAAAUUCUUGUUUUUAUAUAACCCACACUCAUAUGCAUUCCAUAACCAACGUGGAAUCCAAAGAUCCCAAAUAAUUAACUAAAUGGAACAUUGUUUACACUUCAAUGAUAUUUUAAUUAGUUAGCUCUUUUUUUAAUUAGAUCACAACACUUAAAAUUCUAAAGAGUAUUUUCUUUUUUAUAAAUAAGUCGUAUAUUUUUUUACGAAAAAUUAUGUAAAAUUGUUUGAUUAUAAAUAGAAUAUUUUAUUAGUCAAUGCCAUUUUUUCCCAUUUUAGAAUUAAAUUUUUUAAAAAUUACACUAUUACUCUUUCUUCUUCAAUUGAUCUCUAAAAAAAUAAACUAU